UACGGAGGGGGCUAGCGUUGUUCGGAAUUACUGGGCGUAAAGCGCACGUAGGCGGUUUUGUAAGUUCGAGGUGAAAGCCCGGAGCUCAACUUCGGAAUUGCCUUUAAGACUGCAUCGCUUGAACGCCGGAGAGGUGAGUGGAAUUCCGAGUGUAGAGGUGAAAUUCGUAGAUAUUCGGAAGAACACCAGUGGCGAAGGCGGCUCACUGGGCGGCUGUUGACGCUGAGGUGCGAAAGCGUGGGGAGCAAACAGG
rnacentral:rRNA from 1 species